UGGGCGGGGGCAGCGGGGGGAAAGUAGCUUGCUACUUUUGCCGGCGAGCGGCGGACGGGUGAGUAAUGCCUGGGAAAUUGCCCAGUCGAGGGGGAUAACAGUUGGAAACGACUGCUAAUACCGCAUACGCCCUACGGGGGAAAGCAGGGGACCUUCGGGCCUUGCGCGAUUGGAUAUGCCCAGGUGGGAUUAGCUAGUUGGUGAGGUAAUGGCUCACCAAGGCGACGAUCCCUAGCUGGUCUGAGAGGAUGAUCAGCCACACUGGAACUGAGACACGGGCCCA
rnacentral:rRNA from 1 species